rnacentral:rRNA from 1 species
AGAGUUUGAUCCUGGCUCAGGACGAACGCUGGCGGCGUGCCUAAUACAUGCAAGUCGAACGAGAGCGACCGGUGCUUGCACUGGUCAAUCUAGUGGCGAACGGGUGAGUAACACGUGGGUAACCUGCCCAUCAGAGGGGGAUAACAUUCGGAAACGGAUGCUAAAACCGCAUAGGUCUUCGAACCGCAUGGUUUGAAGAGGAAAAGAGGCGCAAGCUUCUGCUGAUGGAUGGACCCGCGGUGCAUUAGCUAGUUGGUGAGGUAACGGCUCACCAAGGCCGUGAUGCAUAGCCGACCUGAGAGGGUGAUCGGCCACAUUGGGACUGAGACACGGCCCAAACUCCUACGGGAGGCAGCAGUAGGGAAUCUUCCGCAAUGGACGCAAGUCUGACGGAGCAACGCCGCGUGAGUGAAGAAGGUUUUCGGAUCGUAAAACUCUGUUGUUAGAGAAGAACAAGUGCUAGAGUAACUGUUAGCGCCUUGACGGUAUCUAACCAGAAAGCCACGGCUAACUACGUGCCAGCAGCCGCGGU